AUUGAACGCUGGCGGCAGGCUUAACACAUGCAAGUCGAACGAGUGGCGGACGGGUGAGUAAUGCUUGGGAAUCUAGCCUAUGGAGGGGGAUAACUACGGGUAAAUGUAGCUAAUAACGCGUACCAUAGGAUGAGCCCAUGUGGGAUGGGGUAGUUGGUGAGGUAAAGGCUCGCCAGGCCGACGAUGUCUAGCUGGUCUGAGAGGAUGACCGGCAACACGGGGACUGAGACACGCCCCAGGCUCCUCCGGUAGGAAGCAGGGGGGAAUCUUGGGAAAGGGGGGCAACCGGACGAGGCCAUGCGGCGUGAAUGAAGAAGGCCUUGGGGUUGUAAGGUUCUUUCGGUGGCGAGGCGUUACCUACAGAAGAAGCACCGGCUAACUCCGUGCCAGCAGCCGCGGUAAUUC
rnacentral:rRNA from 1 species